AUCUUGUGCUUGUAAGUCGUGCUGUUGGAUGAGCACGAAAAAGACAUAGGGUCGGAGCAGAUGGCAGAGUUGGCUGGGGAUGCUGGGAAGAUGAGGUGAGUGGAGUACAAUAACUUUGGAACUUCUUACUGUAGGCAACACUAUUGUUUUUCCUUUCUGUAGGGAGCUUCAAGACUAUCGCUGUUCUGCAUUGGUGGACCUUACGGCCUUGGAAAAGAAUUUCGAGAACGUGCUGAUGUUUCUAUCAAGUUGUCUUCUAUGGUUUUAAACCAUCAAAUUGCAUUAGUUUUGCUUGUAGAGCAACUCUAUAGGUCAUGGACUACUCUGAAAGGACAGAAGUAUCAUCGGUAGCCUUUCUUUUACUGAUCUGAA